rnacentral:rRNA from 1 species
CGCGUAGGAAUCUACCUGAUAGUUGGGGAUAGCCCAGGGAAACUUGGAUUAAUACCGAAUACGCUCUACGGAGGAAAGGAGGGGAUCUUUUGACCUUUCGCUAUCAGAUGAGCCUGCGUGAGAUUAGCUAGUUGGUGAGGUAAUGGCUCACCAAGGCGACGAUCUCUAGCUGGUCUGAGAGGAUGAUCAGCCACACUGGAACUGAGACACGGUCCAGACUCCUACGGGAGGCAGCAGUGGGGAAUAUUGCACAAUGGGCGCAAGCCUGAUGCAGCCAUACCGCGUGUGUGAAGAAGGCCU